GUUUAUCUUCCGGUCGUUGGGCAUCGUGCUGAAGGAGACCGUCUUCUUCUGCAUGGGCCGCUGCCGGGAGCCGUCCUUCAUGAUGCUCGCACGGGGCGCGGCGGGCGCGGGGCUCCGCUCCGCCGAGUCCUCCCGGCUGCUGCUCCCCGAACCCGAACCGGGGCUGCCGCCACCGCCGCCGCGGGGCCCGUUGGGCAGCGGCGCGGCGGGGCGGGGCGAGCCGGGCGGCGGGGCGCUCCGGGGCCCCUCCGCCAUCCCCGCGGCACCACAGCAGCGGCCGCCGCGGGGCCCCGGGCGCCCCGGUGCCUGUGCCCGCCGCCGCUGC
rnacentral:lncRNA from 1 species